UUCCUCACUUUUCCCUCACCCCACUCCGUCCGGACCUAGAAUCUAAAGAAAAUGGUUGGUCGAAGAUUUGGGUGAUAAUGAAAGGCGACAAAGAACUCGUUGGUACACUCAAGGGUUUUGAUGUCUAGGUCAAUAUGGUACUGGAAGACGUUACAGAGUAGUCAAGUAGUUAAUGAAUUAGUAAUUGUACUACAGUAAUUACAUAUCCAGAAAUCUAAAUCAUGAUUUGAAGUCUUAAAAGAGAGAAGAUAUUAUUUGGUAAGAGCAUAUUUCCAUGUUGGUAAUUUGGCAUCCCUCAUCCACUCUCAAAUUUAUUAAUUUAUUUUUUAAUUAUAAAUGAAUUUGUAAGGACCCAUGUGAGGUGAGCAUUCAUCAUCUUUAAUUUUGCACCUCAUUGUCUUUUGUCCUGGAAUCAUGUUUCCAUAUGCCCAAACCACUCAACAUGCAUAGAAAGUGUAAUUUUGCUUUCUCACUCCUUUUACUAUUCAAUUUACCAAAGAAGACCUCCUUUGGUUAUUUUUUACUUUUGAAUCUAUUUUGGCCUUAAAAUUAGGGCUAGAUACACCGAAUCGCAACUCGUUCCAAUGUCAGUUUAGGCCUUUCUAGCAUGAAAUAUAUAAACAUAAUGAUAGUGUUCAAAGAUUGAUAUUUUUUUAUGCU